AUGUUUAUUGAGAAGUACUUGCAGGAGCUCAACGACCUCCAAGCAAAGACCCAAAGUACUAGAACUGCAAGAGCUCAGAAGGCGGGGCAUGUUUUGGCAUGGAUUCCACUGGCUGGGGGAGAGGUCAAACUAAAUGUUGACGGGGGUGUAGCAAAAUCAUCAAAUACAGGUGCGGUUGGAGUUGUAUGCCGGAGUGAGACUGGUCUUUUCAUGGGUGCAUCGGUGGAAGUUUUCCAUGGAAUAACGGAACCAGCAACAUUGGAGGCAUAUGCAUGCAGGGAGGCCCUCGCACUAGCCGAGGACUUGGUUGUUCAUAAAGUGCGAAUUGCAUCGGACUGUCUGAGAGUCAUAAAUGACCUUAAGAGCCCGGGCUAUCUGGGUGAGUAUUGCAUGAUCUUACAGGAGAUCAAUGAGAGAAAGCAAAAGUUUCAGAGUUGCGAGCUUGUCCACGAACAACGUGCAAGCAAUGGUGAGGCACAUAGAUUAGCUAGAAUGGCCACUACCCUAGAUAUUGGCCGACAUGUGUGGCUCAUCGAUCCUCCGGAUAAUCUUUGUAUCCCCCUAAACUUGAGCACAUGA
rnacentral:rRNA from 1 species